UAAUCCGACCUAGGCUCAUCCGGCUGCGCGAGGUCCUUGCGGAUCCCACGCUUUCACCUUUCGGUCGUAUGCGGUAUUAGCGUAAGUUUCCCUACGUUAUCCCCCACAACCGGGCAGAUUCCGAUGUAUUCCUCACCCGUCCGCCACUCGUCAGCACCCUUGCGGGCCUGUUACCGUUCGACUUGCAUGUGUUAGGCAUGCCGCCAGCGUUCACUCUGAGCCAGGAUCAAACUCU
rnacentral:rRNA from 1 species